UUUCUGACCCGUACGCUGGGUAAGAAGGCACGGCAGAGUACCGUGCCCAGCGGCACGGUAGAGGAUCCUCGUCCCCCGCCGCCGUGCGCCGCCGCUCCCUGCCCCGUCGCCAUGCGCCGCCGCCCCAAGCCCCGUCGCCACGCGCCGCCGCCCCUGCCCCACCCCGCCGCCACGCGCCACCGCCCCUGCCUCGCCCCGCCGCCACGCGCCCCCGCCCCGCACCCAUCUUCUCCAAGCUCCGGUCGCCGUCGCGCCCCCAUCUCUCCCUGCUCCACACCACCACGCCAUCUCCUCCUGGUGGGGCUCCGUCAUCGGAGCGUCCUAUCCGUUCGGCGCCACCACCCCAGGCCGUUCGACUCCUUCACCGCAGGCCGUUCGACUCCUUCACCGCAGGCCGUUCAUCGCUGCAGCAUCCUCGAUUCCGACGGGGGUUAGGCGCAACGAUGAUGGCGACUCGCUCCUGAACGCGACGGCGACGUUGACCGGAAGUGGGGAUUCGUGAGCUGAUAGCGACGGCGACAAGCUCUUCCUCCUCUAGCGGCCUCCUCUGCUCCACCAAGGAGACCGUCAGCAUGCGUUGCCGCACUCGUGGGCUGGAUCCGAUCCUAGAGUUUAGUUCAUCUACACGCCUGAUCUGCAGUUCAGGCCUUGAUGAUACGCUGUACCCGGUGAAGAACAUCAUGUCAGGGUUCAGACUGAUGGAGAGUGAGAGGUACGAUUUGGGUGCAUUCAGAGCAAGAACAACAACGGCAGGAUAGUUUUCAGAGAAGAUAGGUGCGAGAUGGCGGCUGCUGACGUCUGCACCUUGGGCUCCCGUAUGCGUCCCAUACCCCAGCAGGUGCACACGUCCCUGCCCACUGUUCCUCUGUGUUGUUCUUUUGACCUUGAACUAUAUAGGAUACAACUUUUAUUUGAUUUUCAGUUCACCUUUUGCGUUCUUUUCAGUUCAUAAACUUUAGUGUAUUGAUGAAAUCCUGAAAUAUCAUAUGUGCACUCUACGUAUUUGUUUUUAUGCCUACGAACAAUUCUGCACUUGUGCUGUUAUGCAUCAGUUUUGGUCACCAAAAAAUGGAGGUUUAGAUAUGACAAAAUGGAUUAGAGCACCAUGCCCUCACCCAGAAGUUUGAAAAAAUCAUUGCUUUCAGUUCUAGUAAAAUGUUUUUGUUUAAAACUGGACUGCUGAUUCUUUCUGUAAUGGGCUUUAUAUAUUAUCUUUCCUAUGUCUUACUGUAGGAAAAUAUGGUGGCCUUCAGCAAGUAAUCUUUCUCUAACGGGCAUCCUAUGCCUGCGCCACCGAGAGCCUGAUCCUACUUGCUGCGUGCUCACGGCGACCACAAGCAUCGUAAGAAAAAGGCUCGUUGAGCUGCACUUGUUUGUUCUGUCGCUCUUCCCCUGCUCCUCAAGCGCCACUGCUGUCUCGUGCUGACCUCGAUGCGCCGACCGUCGUCCAGGCUGCUGCUGGUUGGUGCUGCAUAAACAAAUAGAGUUAAAGAACAUAGAUGAGAGGAAUUCAGUUCAGGAAGAUUAAAGGGUAAUGUUUAGAGAUGAGGCUGAGGGAUCUGGUUCAACUCCCAUCACCCUUGUUUGGUUUUAUAUGAACCUGUAUCUAUAUUUAUGUUUCCGGUUAGAGAUGAGGCUGAGGGAUCCCUCAACCUCUACACAUCUUCACGAAAAAAGUUGGAACUUGCAUCUAUAUUUAUGUUUCCAGUUACCUUCGGUUAAUUGUACUGAACUUGGCUAAUUGUAGCUUACUAGUACUAAACUUUUGUGCCUGUGCUACCUUUUGUAAAGUUCAUCUUGUC
rnacentral:rRNA from 1 species